AAAUUCAUUCCAAAAGCUUUUAAAUGAUUUUACCGUGACUCCAUCAUCAGUUUUUUUACUAACCCUCCUCCAAAUCUUCCUUCUCCCAAAUGAUUGCUCCUCCCCUAAUCUAUUGUUCGUUCACGGAAUCGAUUGAUUCAUUCCCCAAAUCGAUUGAUUCCUUCACCGAAUCAUUUGUUACUUCAUCAAAUCGAUUGUUCCUUCGCCGAAUCGAUUGUUACUUCACUGAAUCGUUUUUCCCCAAAUCAAUUUUGUUUCUAUGAAGUGAUUUUUCCUUCCCCGAAUCUAUUGUUCCUUCACCGAAUUAAUUUUGUAGUUGAUCUCCAAUCCAUAUCGAUUUCCUAUUUUCCAUUCCCCAAAUUAAUUUUCUCUUCUACAAAUAAUUUUUAUUUCUACAUUGAAAUCUUCGAGAUUUGUGGUUCUCUUUUCAAUUAUCCCAAACUGAUGCUACAAGAGUGAUUCGCUUGAAGUUGGAGUUCAAGAGCUAUUUGUGAGAGUUCGACUUUUGGUUUUGUGUGUUCUUUAUUCUAUGUAAUAACUUUGUUCAGAUCUCAUCAUAACAUGGAAAUUAGCAUAUGAAAAAGUAAGCACAUGAGUUAGGACUUUGCAAGGAAGGUGAAACUUCAUAUCGUAGGAUGGAUAUGUUAAUAAACUUCUCAAAUCCAUACAUUGCAAAGAGGUUUGAUGUCAAUGCUUUUGUAUGUGCAUUUAGGAUGAACUUGUUUGAGUUGUAGCAAUGGAGGAGGCAUAAUUUAACUUGCGUAUAUCACAAAUAUUUGCAAAAGGUUAGAAGAGGAAAAACCAAUGAGAAAUUGAGAGGCUUGAAGAACAUUGUUCCAGAAUGUUACAAGACCAUGGAAAUGGAAGUAAUGUUGAAUGGAAUCAUAAACUAUGUUCGGUCAUUGGAGCAUCAAGUAGUGUUUCUUUCAUUGAAGCUUACUGCAGCUAGUACUUAUUAUGAUUUCAAUUCAGAAGCAGAUGAUUUAGAAACAAUGCAGAAUAGAUACUACUUUGGCCGAAUGACGCAUGUAAUGAGGAUGAAGUAGGUGAAGAACUUCAAGAGGAUGAUAUUGGUGAUGAAUUUCAUGUAUUGUUACGUUAGGCAUUUUAGGUAUUGGCUACUAUCUUGAAUUAAUGUUUGAACUAGAUUUUAUAGAUAGUACUUUGGCCGAAUGACGCAUGUAAUGAGGAUGAAGUAGGUGAAGAACUUCAAAAGGAUGAUAUUGGUGAUGAGUUUCAUGUAUUGUUACGUUAGGCAUUUUGUAUUUUGUGUAUUGGCUACUAUCUUGAAUUAAUGUUUGAAUUAGAGUUUAUUAUACAAUUUUUGUUGAUGGACGGUUAAA